rnacentral:lncRNA from 1 species
CAGUUGGUUUUGGUAGCACGGGAACUUCAGAUGGUUGUGGAUCUACUGUUGCAUGAGGCAAUGAAACAGUUUCUUCAGUAGAUUUCAAUGGAACAGUGCUAACUGCCUGUGGAACAGUGUUAACAGAUUUUGGGAAAACAGUGUCGCUUGCAUAAAUUGGCACCAGAACUUUCUUAGGUCGGCCUCUCCCUCUCGCCAUUGCACCCUCAGCGCAGGUUAAC